AGGUUUGGAGGUGCGGUUGAUGCUGCCGGGAGAGCAUUCUUUGACGCAGUAAAUGCGGGAAUGUCUCCGGAUGAAUUUGUUAAAAAAAAACGAAAGCAGAAUCAGUACAUAAUGGGCAUUGGGCACAGAGUCAAAUCAGUUGUUUGGAUUUGUCGAUAGCAGGUGGGAAAUCCGGAUAAGAGAGUUAAAAUACUGAUUUCCUACGUAAAGGAGCAUUUUGACAACACCUCUGUUUUAGACUUUGCGUUAGCGGUUGAGGUGAUAACUACUUCUAAGAGACCAACUCUUAUUCUUAACAUCGACGGAUGCAUUGGGGCCUGCUUCGUUGAUUUACUGACUACGUGCUUCACUGCUGAGCAAGUACACCAUUUCAUAAACGCGGGAGUGCUUAAUGCGAUAUUCGUGCUCGGUCGAUCAAUUGGACUUAUA